rnacentral:pre_miRNA from 1 species
CAUCACCUGGGAUCUUGGUAAAACGCAGAUUCUGAUUCAGUGUAUCUGAGAUCCUGCAUUUCUCACAAGCUCCCAGGUGAUGCGGGUGCUGCU